rnacentral:rRNA from 1 species
AUUGAACGCUGGCGGCAGGCCUAACACAUGCAAGUCGAACGAGUGGCGGACGGGUGAGUAAUGUCUGGGAAACUGCCUGAUGGAGGGGGCUAACUACUGGAAACGGUAGCUAAUACCGCAUACCAUCGGAUGUGCCCAGAUGGGAUUAGCUAGUAGGUGGGGUAAAGGCUCACCUAGGCGACGAUCCCUAGCUGGUCUGAGAGGGUGACCAGCGACACUGGAACUGAGACACGGUCCAGACUCCUACGGGAGGCAGCAGUGGGGAAUAUUGCACAAUGGGCGCAAGCCUGAUACAGCCAUGCCGCGUGUGUGAAGAAGGCCUUCGGGUUGUAAAGUACUUUCAGCAGGGAGGCGUUACCCACAGAAGAAGCACCGGCUAACUCCGUGCCAGCAGCCGCGGUAAUUC